UACGUAGGCAGCAAGCGUUGUUCGGAAUUACUGGGCGUAAAGGGCGCGUAGGCGGCCUUCUAAGUCGAACGUGAAAUCCCCGGGCUCAACCCGGGAACUGCGUCCGAUACUGGAAGGCUUGAAUCCGGGAGAGGGAUGCGGAAUUCCAGGUGUAGCGGUGAAAUGCGUAGAUAUCUGGAGGAACACCGGUGGCGAAGGCGGCAUCCUGGACCGGUAUUGACGCUGAGGCGCGAAAGCCAGGGGAGCAAACGGG
rnacentral:rRNA from 1 species